AUUCCAGCUCCAAUAGCGUAUAUUAAAGUUGUUGCAGUUGAAAAGCUCGUAGUUGAACUUUUGGUAGGAGCGACCUGGCCUUGGGCGCAUGCCCUUGUUUGCCGUGUGUCGUAUCUGGCCAUCCUUUUCUUCUUCGGAAGGAAUCAUUUACUGUGAGUAAACUGGAGUGCUCAAAUCAAGACGUUUGUUUGGUACAUUAAAGCAUGGAAUAAUAAGAUAGGACCUGGUUACUAUUUUGUUGGUUUGCAUAGCUAGGUAAUGAUUAACAGGGACAGUUGGGGGUAUUCGUAUUUAAUAGUCAGAGGUGAAAUUCUUGGAUUUAUGAAAGACGAACGACUGCGAAAGCAUUUACCAAGGAUGUUUUCAUCG
rnacentral:rRNA from 1 species